rnacentral:rRNA from 1 species
UCAGGUUGAUAGGUCAGAGGUGGAAGCGUGGCGACAUGUGGAGCUGACUGAUACUAAUCGAUCGAGGACUUAACCAAGUU